CAACCAUGAUUGGGGCAUUUUCUCAGUAGCAUCUGAAAAUUCUCCCAAGCUUUAUAGAAUGUUUCAUCUACGCCUUGCCUGAAAGUGGAUAUUUCAAAUUUGGCAUG
rnacentral:snoRNA from 1 species